rnacentral:rRNA from 1 species
CUACGGGGUGCUGCAGUUAGGAAUAAUCUACAAUGCGCGAAAGCGUGAUAGUUUGAGCCAGAGUGCCUUACAUUAGUAAGGCUUUUGUGAAAUGUAAAAAGUUUCACGAAUAAGGACUGGGUAAGACUGGUGCCAGCCGCCGCGGUAAUACCAGCGGUCCAAGUUGCAAUCAUUUUUAUUGGGUCUAAAACAUCCGUAGCUUGCUCUGCAAGUUUCUUGUGAAAUUUUGUAUCUCAAAUACGAAGCGUGCAAGAAAUACUGCAAAGCUAGAGACUGGGAGAUGUAAGAAGUAUGUUUAGAGUAGCGGUUAAAUGUGUUAAUCCUAAGCAGACUAACGAUAGCGAAGGCAUCUUACAAGAACAGAUCUGACAGUAAGGGAUGAAGGCUAGGGGCGCAAAUAGGAUUAGAUACCCGCGUAGUC